rnacentral:rRNA from 1 species
AUUGAACGCUGGCGGCAUGCCUUACACAUGCAAGUCGAACGGUAACAGGUCUUCGGAUGCUGACGAGUGGCGAACGGGUGAGUAAUACAUCGGAACGUGCCCGAUCGUGGGGGAUAACGAAGCGAAAGCUUUGCUAAUACCGCAUAAGAUCUACGGAUGAAAGCAGGGGACCGCAAGGCCUUGCGCGAACGGAGCGGCCGAUGGCAGAUUAGGUAGUUGGUGGGAUAAAAGCUCACCAAGCCGACGAUCUGUAGCUGGUCUGAGAGGACGACCAGCCACACUGGGACUGAGACACGGCCCAGACUCCUACGGGAGGCAGCAGUGGGGAAUUUUGGACAAUGGGCGAAAGCCUGAUCCAGCCAUGCCGCGUGCAGGAUGAAGGCCUUCGGGUUGUAAACUGCUUUUGUACGGAACGAAAAGACUCUGGUUAAUACCUGGGGUCCAUGACGGUACCGUAAGAAUAAGCACCGGCUAACUACGUGCCAGCCGCCGCGGUAA